rnacentral:rRNA from 1 species
AUUGAACGCUGGCGGCAUGCUUUACACAUGCAAGUCGAACGGUAACAGGGUGCUUGCACCGCUGACGAGUGGCGAACGGGUGAGUAAUGCGUCGGAACGUGCCGAGUAGUGGGGGAUAACGCAUCGAAAGGUGUGCUAAUACCGCAUACGUACUGAGGUAGAAAGUGGGGGACCUUCGGGCCUCACGCUAUUCGAGCGGCCGACGUCUGAUUAGCUAGUUGGUGAGGUAAAGGCUCACCAAGGCGACGAUCAGUAGCGGGUCUGAGAGGAUGAUCCGCCAAACUGGGACUGAGACACGGACCAGACUCCUACGGGAGGCAGCAGUGGGGAAUUUUGGACAAUGGGCGAAAGCCUGAUCCAGCCAUGCCGCGUGUCUGAAGAAGGCCUUCGGGUUGUAAAGGACUUUUGUCGGGGAGGAAAUCCCCAGCGCUAAUACCGCUGGGGGAUGACAGUACCUGAAGAAUAAGCACCGGCUAACUACGUGCCAGCCGCCGCGGUAAAAC